GGAUGUGAGGCUGAUCUGGCUCUGACAUUUGUCAACCUACCAAUCACCAGGGUUGAUCUGGCUGCUCUGGCUGGCAAGGUGGGUGUCCCCUUCCUCUCCUACGGCUCCUUCUGUGUCCCUCCCAAAACUGUGUGCUUGAUGGAAGAGGAUGACCUUCCCCAACAGAAGAGAGUUGUUCUUUGGUCAAGGUUGGAUGUAUAUGAGUAGCUGUGUCCCCGUGCCAGACCCUCCAAACAAGCUCUCAAGGUCUGUUUGUAGGAGAAUGUAGGGUGGUCAAGCUCCCAAGACUCCAAACACAUCCAAAUGAGGUACUGCACGUGGCGGUCUGCCCUUCUUA
rfam:Ailuropoda melanoleuca scaffold457_14, whole genome shotgun sequence.